CCUCGCGGACAGCGCGGCUGUGCGGGCGGAGAGCUGUCGAUCCCAGUGAUUAAUGCCAAAUCCCUGUUGCCAGUGGAGAGGGUGAUGUUUGACUUUCUUAAACAGCUGCAGUUUGUGUGGUGAAGGUGCUCCCACAAUGUGGUUGGAUCCCAGUGAUUAAUGCCAAAGCCCCAUUGCCUGUGGAGAGGGUGAUGUUUGACUUCCUUGUACAGCUGCAGUUUGUGUGGUGAAGGUGCUCCCACAAUGUGGUUGGGUGGACAUUCAGAUGGUAACCUUAGUCAUUGUAGCACCAAACUCUGACAGAAUUACUCAAUUCACCAGGACCUGGAUAUUUGCAU